rnacentral:rRNA from 1 species
UACGUAGGGGGCAAGCGUUGUCCGGAUUUAUUGGGCGUAAAGAGCGUGUAGGCGGCCAGAUAGGUCCGUUGUGAAAACUGGAGGCUUAACCUCCAGCUGUCGAUGGAAACCAUCUGGCUAGAGUCCGGAAGAGGAGAGUGGAAUUCCUGGUGUAGCGGUGAAAUGCGCAGAUAUCAGGAAGAACGCCCGUGGCGAAGGCGGCUCUCUGGGACGGUACUGACGCUGAGACGCGAAAGCGUGGGGAGCGAACAGG